GCGAGUUCCCUGGGGCCCUGGGGGGCGGGGCGGUGCACCUGAGAGCCGGGCGGUGGAGAGCGCUCCAGGGGUGCCAUGGUGACACUGAACCUGCCUGGAUCCUGACUCUCCAACGGCUCCCUUUGGUGUCUCAGCUUCUGACAGCGUCUGAUAGCGGAUGGAGGAGAGGUGGUCAGCGAAAGAGAGGUGGUGUGCAGGGGGAUGGGCUGCAGGAGGUGUGGAGAAGGAUAGAGGAGGUGAGUCUGUGUGCCCCUGACACAGAGAGGCCAAACGGUACCCAAUCCUCGGAAUCUGGAGCAGAUAAAGGUUUAUUGCUGCACGAUGCGAGGAGACGCGUGGCUCCCACCUUAAAAACCCCAAACUUCCCAAAGGUUUCAGCAAAGCCCUUUCCUGGGAAAAGUGAGAGAAGGCAUGGUAAGUCAUUGCAAACUUCCUGGUGUCAGAUCCUUUGUUCUUGAGGUCAGGUCAUGGUCAGAUAACAGUGUUCCUGUAAAUCUCUACCAAAUGAAUGCCAUCCUCUGUUCUGACAAGAAAAGACAAGGUCUCAAGGCUCAACUUUCGCCCUCCAAGGUCCAGGUCCUGGCUAAGAGGAGGUGGUCCCUGCUAGGGCUGGUCACCCUGCCCAGGAGUCUUCAUCGAGCACCCAGUCUGGGUCCUCCCACUAGUGCCCAGGCUGGGCUGAGGAGGCAGAUCUCAGCUGGUGCUGCCCUUGGAGCCAGGUCCCCAGACCCUGUCCAGCUGUCAUCUCUGAGGGAGCCAGGCACCCAGGACCCAGCUGGUCCUCAGGCCCUCCAAACAGCAGGGGGUCAGGUCCCUCACAGGCCCACCAGGCAAACUGCUGCUGCCCUUCGGUCCCAGUGUGGGGACUGGGGAGCGCUUCACUGCGGCCUCUCCGCCUGGGCCCGGCCAGCAGGCAGCAUUGGCGAGGGCUCUGGAGCCCAGCAGGACAGAGCCCCUAGCCUGUCCCCCACCCCCAUCCACUGGCCUGAGGCCGGCUGAGCAGGAGGGCUCUGGGGUGAAGGCUGGGAUCUGCCUUUUACCUCCCUCGCUGCCUGAAGACCACCACCCCCCUGACCAUUGGCCUAGCAGGCCUUUAAUUACCACCCUGGCUGUUUCUUAGCAGUGGCUGCCUGGUGACUGCUGUCUGGUAACAGUAGAUGUCCUGGCACUGCACCCACGCCUGUCCCCACCACACACUUGCCCUUUCGCUGUCACGCACUCAUCCUUGGAGACGUCAGCCCCGCUUGCUGGCACCGCGACCCUCCUGUCAGUAUUUUCCACCGUACAGUCUGUUUUCUACUUCGGCUUCUGGUGCUUGAACUUCUUGCCUCCCAUUGCAAACACUGCUGCUCUUUCCCCCAGCAGCUAUUUCUUCUAUGCCUAAUGCAAUAAAUACUAAUACAUAAAAUGUCAACUGUCCUGGUCUCCUGAUGAAAUGGGCUCACAGAAAGUAGGCCCAUCCCCAGGGGAUGAAUCUUGACUGGAGGAAAGCAGGCAUGGCCCUCUCCUUCCUCUGCUGGAAUUGGUGGGGGUGGGGAGAACACGUGACCUAGUUCUGCCCAAUAGAGCUGAGAGGAGGCCUGUUUAGGAGGCAGGUGGUGUUUGGGAAAGUUUCAUCUCUUUAAAGGAAGGCGGGUGGUGGAAAUCAAUCAUCACCAUUUUCCUUCGACCUGGUAGGGAGAAUGUGAUGGGAGGAGAUGUAGCAGCCAAAGUGAGACCGUGAGGAAAGAGCUAAGGAGAAUCCCAGAGGAGCUGGUGCAAAGAUCCGCCCUUGCUGACCAAAUAAACUAAUCAACCCCAGAGCCUCCAGACUCUUGUUGGCAAGAUCAUCACUGCCUGCACUGAAGCCAUGUUGGGAUCCAUUUCGUUCAUUAAUUCAGAAUAAUCUAAGUGUCUUAUUAAAUAUUUCUUGUGCUGAUUCCA